AUGGCACCACCUAGUCAACCAAACUUUGCAUUGAAAUCAAUUCUGGAAAAGGAUAAACUGAAUGGAACAAACUUUACUACAUGGUAUAGAAAUUUGAGAAUUUUUCUCAAGCAUGAUAAAAAGGAACAUGUUCUAGAGGAUCUGCUUCUAGAGGAACCUGCCGAUAAUGCUAGUACCACAACCAAGAAUGCCUACCAGAAACUCGUUGAUGAAUCAAACGAGAUCAGCUGCCUCCUGCUGGCUUGUAUGGAGCCUGAUUUGCAGCAGCAUUUCAAAGACAUUGGGGCUUUCGAUAUGAUUGAGAGUCUCAAGAGCAUGUUUCAGGUGCAGGCUAGGACCGAAAGGUUCAACGUCUGGCGAUCCUUGAUGGAUUGUAAGCUGAACAAAGGUGAUCCACUAAGCCCGCAUGUGAUCAAGAUGAUCGGAUAUGUGCAAGCUUUGGAUCGGUUGGGCUUCCCGCUCUUGGAUGAGCUGGCUACUGAUGCAGUUCUGGGUUCUCUUCCGCCCAGCUAUGGGACGUUCAUCUCGAACUAUCAUAUGCAUGGCAUGGAUAAGAAGCUCACUGAAUUGCAUGGGAUGCUCAAAGUGGCAGAGCAGGAUAUUAAGAAAGGCACGCAUCAAGUGUUGAUGGUGCAGAAAUCGGCUAAGUUCAAGAAGAGUUGGUCCAAGAAAAAGGCUAAGGCAAAGGGCACGGAGAUGGUAACCUCCGCCGCUGCGUCGAAGUCUGGACCGGAGUCAAAGACCAUUUGCUAUCAUUGCAAGGAAACUGGUCACUAG
rnacentral:rRNA from 1 species